CAGUGCCAACUCGACUCAACACACCUUCUCCGUUCUUUGGUGUCUACUUCUCUCGCCCCUCGCCUGUUUGCUUGUAGCCUUCCUUACAGAAACCAAGAAAUCUAAAACACAGCUCAUCUUCGUCUCUCGUACCUCAGCAACAAUGACGGCCGCCGUGGAUCUCGAAGGCGUGGCGCUUCACGGCCAUAUGAAGGGUGUGACAAUGCUAAAGUUCAAUCGCGACGGCGACCUUCUCUUUUCAUCUGCCAAGGACACGAACUGCAGCGCGUGCUGCUGGCAGGUAAAGACGGGCAAGCUGCUCGGCUCCUACACAACGGUGGGUCAGGUGGAAGGUCGCACGUACGAUGCGGCCAUGGUGGCGCUAGAUGUGAACCGGGAGUCCACACUUUUGGCGACCGCCAGCGCGGGCGAGGAGGUGCUUCUGUGGAGCGUAGAGUCUGGUGCUCUUCUUGGCUCCGUGAGCCGCAGCCUAUCGUCCGGCGCCAGCGUCGGCUUCUCGCACGAUGACACGCUGAUGAUGGUGGCCACAAAGGGCCGCUCCAGCACAAGCUCGGCGAUUCAGGUCUACAACGUACCCUUCACGGUGCCCAAGGCCGGUGAGGACAUCGCCCCUGUCAAGACGCCCUUCACCACUUUUUCCACCUUCGAGACCCCGGACACGAUCACGUGGGCCGCCUGGGGGCCGACGAACGAGACGAUCUACUACUCCGAGGGCGGCUACAUGAACAUCCUCGACGUGGAGGCAAACAAGGUGAUCCGCAGUCGCCAGAUUCACGAGGACGAGAACGAGGUGAUCAACCGCUUCAGCUGGGACCCUAACUACCUCGCCUUAGCCACCGCCUCGACCGACAAGACGUCUCACCUCAUAGACUUCCGCGACCUGGCCACCAUUCAGGUGUACCGGAGCGACGUCCCGGUGAACGACGUGUCGAUCAGCCCAAACGCCGACCACGUAAUCCUCGGCGGUGGCAUGGAUGCCGCUUCUGUGACGACGCAAGGCGGGCAGUCCAUCUUCGAGGUUAAGUUCUUUCACAAGGUUCACGGCCACCAGCUCGGCCAACUGCGCUGCCACUUUGGUACAAUCAAUGCCAUGUCCUUCCACCCCGACGGUCGCGGCUUCGCCAGCGCCAGCUACGACGGUCUCAUCAAGAUGUACCGUUUCGGCGACUCGUACGAUUCCACGCCUGGCGCGCAGCCUCUGUGGACGCUGUAGAGAGGUGAAUACGGCGAAGAGAAGGCUCUCUCUGUGUAUGCUUGUAUGCGUGUGCUUGCUUGGGAACGUGUGCACACAUCACAUCUGUUUUUGUGCUGCUCGCCCUUCGAUUGGUGCACGGGCGUCUGCCUGCCUGCCUGCCUGUCCGUCUGUCUGUGUGCUUGUGUGCACAUGUGUGUAUGUGCGUGUGUCUGUGUGCCUUCGUGCGUCUUCUCGUUCUAUCUGGUAGGGAGCUUUACCUUUCUUGGUGUGUGUGCGCGUGUGUGAAGGUAUCUCAUGUGCCGGUGGUUGUCUUGUUCGCAUUUUUAAAGAGGUAAACGCCCGCCGUUGUGCAGACGGGUGCGUGUGAGUAAGCAUAACUGACUCUCCCUCUCUCCUAGUGGAAAGACCGGCUAGGGGUCACCUACUAAAGAAGGAAUGCAAGUUGACUAAUAAUCAGGGGAGCUUUCAGGCGCAGAGGCGUUGACAUACGGAGAGGAGGAGAGGAGGGGUCCUCGGUGAGAGGAAUGGUGGCGGUACAAGCGGGGCUGUGCUUUCUCCAACUUCUCGCUCCGUGCGCUUAGCGAUAACUGUCCUUCUCCACGGAUGCACGGCUGCGUUCGUGAGCGGCUGGGCAGCGCGGCGAAGGGCCGGCGAGAGUUUGUGCAGGGUAGAGGGGGUGGGGAGAAGCGAUGAUCCUGCCGCGGCUCGUGCGUCAGUGUGCAUCACUCUUUUUCGUUGUUGUUUUCCUUCCCCUCUCCUUUCCUCAGCGCCCCCUUUUUUUUUCACGGCCACUGCAGCAAGUGCAUGCACCGGCCUUGUCGACCUCGCAUGCUUUAAAUCUUCGCACGCUGCUUACCAACGCACCUUCACCUACGCUCUCGCUCCCUCUUUUGCCUACUUUGUAACCAACCCUACGUAUUUUCAAG
rnacentral:misc_RNA from 1 species